CCAAGACUAGCCUUGGGUAUAUGUUGUCUGAUUGUCUCACUCUUUUUGACCUAACAAAUCCAUUUGAGUAAUUGAAAAGUGAAAACCUACAAGCUGCCAAGUCCAACUUCCUUGUUGAACUGCCCAUCUCCAACCAAGACCACCGAUGGUAUUAGAUUGAAGUAAAUGGGGAUAAUGCUGUUGGACUUUACAAGCACUUUAAGCUGGGAAAGUGGGGAAUUUUUUAUUCUUAGAAACAUCUCUUCCUGCGGAUUCAUGUCGGUAUUUAAUUCUAACAAGUCUCAAAUUCUGGUUUUGUUGAUUAUUUGACUCGGAUUUGAAUCGAUUAUGGUUCUCAUUUUUGUUUGAUUAUUUAAUUUUAUUUGGAGAUUUUUGUGUUUUUGAUGUUUUGAUCGAUCACUUUGCUGUAAGGGUUUGUAUCGUUGAAUUUUCGUUAAAUUGAGACAAUAUUAAGAAAUAUAUUAUAGAAAAAAAUUGAUUUGAUUUGCUGUUGUAUGAUUUAAUAUUGACGUGCUAUGAUUGUUUGUUUACCGGAGAUAUUCAAGCGAAUAAAUAAAA
rnacentral:lncRNA from 1 species